rnacentral:rRNA from 1 species
AUGGAAUUAAGAUUUCCCAGGUUUAGCCAAGGCUUAGCUCAGGACCCCACUACUCGUCGUAUUUGGUUUGGUAUUGCUACCGCACAUGAUUUCGAAAGUCAUGAUGAUAUUACUGAAGAACGUCUUUAUCAGAACAUUUUUGCUUCUCACUUUGGGCAAUUAGCAAUAAUCUUUCUAUGGACGUCCGGAAAUCUGUUUCAUGUAGCUUGGCAAGGAAAUUUUGAAUCAUGGAUACAGGAUCCUUUACACGUAAGACCUAUUGCUCAUGCGAUUUGGGAUCCUCAUUUUGGUCAACCCGCUGUGGAAGCCUUUACUCGAGGAGGUGCUGCUGGUCCAGUGAAUAUUGCUUAUUCUGGGGUUUAUCAGUGGUGGUAUACAAUAGGAUUACGCACCAAUGAGGAUCUUUAUACUGGAGCUCUUUUUCUAUUAUUUCUUUCUACGCUGUCCUUAAUAGCGGGUUGGUUACAUCUACAACCCAAAUGGAAACCAAGCCUUUCGUGGUUCAAAAACGCGGAAUCUCGUCUCAAUCAUCAUUUGUCAGGACUUUUCGGGGUAAGUUCUUUGGCUUGGACAGGACAUUUAGUUCAUGUUGCUAUUCCCGCAUCCAGGGGGGAGUACGUUCGAUGGAAUAAUUUCUUAGAUGUAUUACCCUAUCCCCAGGGGUUGGGACCCCUUUUGAUGGGUCAAUGGAAUCUUUAUGCCCAAAACCCUGAUUCGAGUAAUCAUUUAUUUGGUACCGCUCAAGGAGCCGGAACUGCCAUUCUAACUCUUCUUGGGGGAUUCCAUCCACAAACACAAAGUUUGUGGCUGACCGGUAUGGCUCACCAUCAUUUAGCUAUUGCAUUUAUUUUUCUCAUUGCCGGUCACAUGUAUCGAACUAACUUCGGAAUUGGGCACAGUAUUAAAGAUCUUUUAGAAGCGCAUACUCCUCCGGGGGGGUUGUUAGGGCGUGGGCAUAAGGGCCUUUAUGACACAAUCAACAAUUCGAUUCAUUUUCAGUUAGGUCUUGCUCUAGCUUCUUUAGGGGUUAUUACUUCCUUAGUAGCUCAACAUAUGUACUCUUUACCUCCUUAUGCAUUCAUAGCACAAGACUUUACUACUCAAGCUGCUUUAUAUACUCAUCACCAAUAUAUUGCAGGGUUCAUCAUGACAGGGGCUUUUGCUCAUGGAGCUAUUUUUUUCAUUACGGAUUACAAUCCGGAACAGAAUGAGGAUAAUGUAUUGGCAAGAAUGUUAGACCAUAAAGAAGCUAUCAUAUCUCAUUUAAGUUGGGCUAGCCUCUUUCUAGGAUUCCAUACCUUGGGCCUUUAUGUUCAUAACGACGUCAUGCUUGCUUUUGGUACUCCAGAAAAGCAAAUCUUGAUCGAACCUAUAUUUGCCCAAUGGAUACAAUCUGCUCAUGGCAAGACGACAUAUGGGUUCGAUAUACUCUUAUCUUCAACGAAUGGCCCCGCUUUCAAUGCGGGUCGAAGCCUAUGGUUGCCCGGAUGGUUGAAUGCUGUUAAUGAGAAUAGUAAUUCGCUUUUCUUAACAAUAGGACCUGGGGAUUUCUUGGUUCAUCAUGCUAUUGCUCUAGGUUUGCAUACAACUACAUUGUUUUUAGUAAAGGGCGCUUUAGAUGCACGCGGUUCCAAAUUAAUGCCGGAUAAAAAGGAUUUUGGAUAUAGUUUUCCUUGUGACGGCCCAGGGCGCGGCGGUACUUGUGAUAUUUCUGCUUGGGACGCAUUUUAUUUGGCAGUUUUCUGGAUGUUAAAUACCAUUGGGUGGGUUACUUUUUAUUGGCAUUGGAAACAUAUCACAUUAUGGCAGGGCAACGUUUCACAAUUUAAUGAAUCCUCCACUUAUUUGAUGGGAUGGUUAAGAGAUUACCUAUGGUUAAACUCUUCACAACUUAUCAAUGGAUAUAAUCCUUUUGGGAUGAAUAGUUUAUCGGUAUGGGCGUGGAUGUUCUUAUUUGGACAUCUUGUUUGGGCUACUGGAUUUAUGUUCUUAAUUUCCUGGCGGGGGUAUUGGCAGGAAUUAAUUGAGACUUUAGCAUGGUCUCAUGAACGCACACCUUUAGCUAAUUUAAUUCGCUGGAGAGAUAAGCCCGUGGCUCUUUCCAUUGUGCAAGCAAGAUUGGUUGGAUUAGCUCACUUUUCCGUGGGUUAUAUAUUCACUUAUGCAGCUUUCUUGAUUGCCUCAACAUCAGGCAAGUUUGGUUAA